rnacentral:rRNA from 1 species
AUAAGAUAUCAAGGGCAACAGGUGAAUGCCUUGGCGCUGAGAGGCGAUGAAAGACGCGGUAAGCUGCGAUAAGCAUCGGGGAGGAGCUAAACAUCCUACGAUCCGAUGAUUUCUGAAUGGGGAAACCCGAUGGGAGUCAUGUCCCAUCAUCCUGAGCUGAAUAUAUAGGCCCAGAGAAGCCAACCCGGGGAAGUGAAACAUCUCAGUACCCGGAGGAAGAGAAAUCAAACGAGACUCCCAAAGUAGCGGCGAGCGAAAUGGGAAGAGCCCAAACCGAGUGGUUUCGACCAUUCGGGGUUGUAGGGCCGGCAUACGCGAUUCUGGAGUAGGCAGAGGAAGUGAGCUGGAAAGCUCCGCCACAGCGGGUGAUAGCCCCGUACUCAAAACCGAAAAGGACGCAGCCGGUACCUGAGUACUGCGAGGCACGUGGAACCUCGUGGGAAUCUAGGGGGACCAUCCUCUAAGGCUAAGUACUCCUCAGCGACCGAUAGUGAACUAGUACCGUGAGGGAAAGGUGAAAAGAACCCCUGUUAGGGGAGUGAAAUAGAAUCUGAAACCUGUUGCCUACAAGCUGCGAGAGCUACUUCGGUAGUGAUCGCGUGCCUUUUGUAUAAUGAGUCAGCGAGUUACUCUACCGUGCGAGGUUAAGCGAAAGCGUAGCCGUAGUGAAAGCGAGGCUUAAUAGGCCGACUAGUACGUUGGAGUAGACCCGAAACCGGGUGAUCUAUCCAUGAGCAGGUUGAAGCAAGGGUAAAGCCUUGUGGAGGACCGAACCGUCAACGGCUGAAAACGUUCCGGAUGACUUGUGGAUAGGGGUGAAAGGUCAAUCAAACCCGGUGAUAGCUGGUUCUCCCCGAAAUAUAUUGAGGUAUAGCCUCGGGAAUUGAUUAGCGGAGGUAAAGCACUGACAGAGCUAGGGGUCCUACCAGAUUACCAAACUCUAUCAAACUCAGAAUGCCGCUUAAUCGUAUCCCGGGAGUCAGACGGCGGGUGCGAAGGUUCGUCGUCAAAAGGGAAACAGCCCAGACCAACAGCUAAGGUCUCCAAAUCCAUGCUCAGUGGUGAAGGUAGUGGAACCGUUUAGACAGCCAGGACGUUGGCUUAGAAGCAGCCAUCGUUUAAAGAAAGCGUAAUAGCUCACUGGUCUAAUGGCUCUGCGCCGAAAAUGUAACGGGGCUAAGCAUGGUACCGAAGCUUUGGCAAUCCCCUUUGGGGAUUGGGUAGGGGAGCGUUCGCUGCGGGCUGAAGGUGUGCCGGAAGGCAUGCUGGACUGCAGUGAAGUGAUUAUGCUGACAUGAGUAACGAUAAAAUAUGUGAAAAACAUAUUCGCCGAAAACCCGAGGUUUCCUGGGUAAAGGUAAUCUUCCCAGGGUUAGUCGGAUCCUAAGGUGAGGGUGAAAGCCGUAACCGAUGGAAAACAGGUUAAUAUUCCUGUACUUGUUGUGUAGCGCGAUGGAGGGACGCAGGAAGAUAGGCGGGCCGGGUGUUGGAUAUCCCGGUGCAAGCGUGUAGGAAUAUCCGGUAGGCAAAUCCGCCGGACGAAUCUGAGACGCGAGUCCGUGGGCGCAAGCCCUGAAGCCGUUGAGUCUAUGCUGCCUAGAAAAGCUCCUAAGUUUAUCCACAGCAAUCCGUACCGCAAACCAACUCAGGUGGGUGGGAUGAACAAUCCAAGGCGCUCGAGAGAACUCUGGCCAAGGAACUCGGCAAAAUAACCCCGUAACUUCGGAAGAAGGGGUGCUCUCUAGGGUGACAUGUUUAACAUAUGAAGCCCCGGGGAGCCGCAGUGAAUUGGUGGUGGCGACUGUUUACUAAAAACAUAGGUCUGUGCGAAGUCCUAAAGACGACGUAUACGGACUGACGCCUGCCCGGUGCUGGAAGGUUAAAAGGAGGGGUCAGCGCAAGCAAAGCUCCGAAUUGAAGCCCCAGUAAACGGCGGCCGUAACUAUAACGGUCCUAAGGUAGCGAAAUUCCUUGUCGGGUAAGUUCCGACCUGCACGAAUGGCGUAACGAUCUCCACACUGUCUCGGCCAGAGACUCGGUGAAAUUGCAGUCGCGGUGAAAAUUCCGUGUACCCGCAGAAAGACGGAAAGACCCUGUGCACCUUUACUAUAGCUUGA